rnacentral:lncRNA from 1 species
ACUUCUGUAGUCCAGCUACUCAGGGGGCUGAGGUCAAGGGCUGAGGUCGGAAGGAUCACUUGAGGCCUGGAGGUUGAGGCUGCAGUGAGCCGAGAUCACACCACUGCACUCUAGCCUGGGCGACAAAGCAAAACACUGUCUCUCUCUCUCUCUCUCUCUCUCUCUCUCUCUCACACACACACACACACACACACACACACAGAUGAAAAUAAGGUGCACAGAAGCUCUGAACUUGGUGACAUGCCAACAUAAAGCUGACCCACCCCAGAACCGUAAAUAAUCAUGAUAUGCAGGUGGAGUGGAGAAUCAAACU